GUGUGCUGUGAGGCAUGCUGGAGGUAUCAGAAGUGCGAAUGCUGACAUAAGUAACGAUAAAGCGGGUGAAAAGCCCGCUCGCCGGAAGACCAAGGGUUCCUGUCCAACGUUAAUCGGGGCAGGGUGAGUCGACCCCUAAGGCGAGGCCGAAAGGCGUAGUCGAUGGGAAACAGGUUAAUAUUCCUGUACUUGGUGUUACUGCGAAGGGGGGACGGAGAAGGCUAUGUUAGCCGGGCGACGGUUGUCCCGGUUUAAGCAUGUAGGCGGAGGUUCCAGGUAAAUCCGGUACCUUUUAACGCUGAGGUGUGAUGACGAGGCACUACGGUGCUGAAGUAACAAAUGCCCUGCUUCCAGGAAAAGCCUCUAAGCUCCAGGUAACACGAAAUCGUACCCCAAACCGACACAGGUGGUCAGGUAGAGAAUACCAAGGCGCUUGAGAGAACUCGGGUGAAGGAACUAGGCAAAAUGGUGCCGUAACUUCGGGAGAAGGCACGCUGACAUGUAGGUGAAGCCCCUGCGGGUGGAGCUGAAGUCAGUCGAAGAUACCAGCUGGCUGCAACUGUUUAUUAAAAACACAGCACUGUGCAAACACGAAAGUGGACGUAUACGGUGUGACGCCUGCCCGGUGCCGGAAGGUUAAUUGAUGGGGUUAUCCGUAAGGAGAAGCUCUUGAUCGAAGCCCCGGUAAACGGCGGCCGUAACUAUAACGGUCCUAAGGUAGCGAAAUUCCUUGUCGGGUAAGUUCCGACCUGCACGAAUGGCGUAAUGAUGGCCAGGCUGUCUCCACCCGAGACUCAGUGAAAUUGAACUCGCUGUGAAGAUGCAGUGUACCCGCGGCAAGACGGAAAGACCCCGUGAACCUUUACUAUAGCUUGACACUGAACAUUGAGCCUUGAUGUGUAGGAUAGGUGGGAGGCUUUGAAGCGUGGACGCCAGUCUGCGUGGAGCCAACCUUGAAAUACCACCCUUUAAUGUUUGAUGUUCUAACCUGGCGCCGUAAUCCGGCGUGGGGACAGUGUCUGGUGGGUAGUUUGACUGGGGCGGUCUCCUCCUAAAGAGUAACGGAGGAGCACGAAGGUUGGCUAAUCCUGGUCGGACAUCAGGAGGUUAGUGCAAUGGCAUAAGCCAGCUUGACUGCGAGCGUGACGGCGCGAGCAGGUGCGAAAGCAGGUCAUAGUGAUCCGGUGGUUCUGAAUGGAAGGGCCAUCGCUCAACGGAUAAAAGGUACUCCGGGGAUAACAGGCUGAUACCGCCCAAGAGUUCAUAUCGACGGCGGUGUUUGGCACCUCGAUGUCGGCUCAUCACAUCCUGGGGCUGAAGUAGGUCCCAAGGGUAUGGCUGUUCGCCAUUUAAAGUGGUACGCGAGCUGGGUUUAGAACGUCGUGAGACAGUUCGGUCCCUAUCUGCCGUGGGCGCUGGAGAAUUGAGGGGGGCUGCUCCUAGUACGAGAGGACCGGAGUGGACGCAUCACUGGUGUUCGGGUUGUCAUGCCAAUGGCAUUGCCCGGUAGCUACAUGCGGAAGAGAUAAGUGCUGAAAGCAUCUAAGCACGAAACUUGCCCCGAGAUGAGUUCUCCCUGAGACUUAGAGUCUCCUGAAGGAACGUUGAAGACGACGACGUUGAUAGGCCGGGUGUGUAAGCGCAGCGAUGCGUUGAGCUAACCGGUACUAAUGAACCGUGAGGCUUAACCUUACAACGCCGAAG
rnacentral:rRNA from 1 species